AUGAACGUAAUGGGAGAGACUGACCGGAACAUGCGGCGGCGCCGAAGGAGUAAACCUACUUAAGGUGAAUCUCUCAGGCAAAAGGACCUUUACGGGACG
rnacentral:ncRNA from 1 species